CGGGCCAUAGCGCAGUUUGGUAGCGCGUCCGUCUGGGGGACGGAAGGUCGUGAGUUCGAAUCUCGCUGGCCCGACCA
rnacentral:tRNA from 1 species